rnacentral:rRNA from 1 species
CCUACGGGGGGCAGCAGUGGGGAAUAUUGCGCAAUGGGCGAAAGCCUGACGCAGCGACGCCGCGUGAGGGAUGAAGGUCUUCGGAUCGUAAACCUCUGUCAGCAGGGAAGAACGGUCACUGUGCUAAUCAGCAGUGAAUUGACGGUACCUGCAAAGGAAGCACCGGCUAACUCCGUGCCAGCAGCCGCGGUAAUACGGAGGGUGCGAGCGUUAAUCGGAAUUACUGGGCGUAAAGCGCUCGUAGGCGGUAUGUCAAGUCAAGGGUGAAAUCCCCGCGCUCAACGUGGGAACUGCCUUUGAAACGGGCAAACUGGAGUGUGUGAGAGGAUAGUGGAAUUCCAGGUGUAGGAGUGAAAGCCGUAGAUAUCUGGAGGAACAUCAGUGGCGAAGGCGACUAUCUGGCACAUAACUGACGCUGAGGAGCGAAAGCGUGGGUAGCAAACAGGAUUAGAUACCCUAGUAGUC